AGCCUGUGUACGGACAGGUUGCCGGUCUCCGACGGUAAGGUUACACAGCCUGUGUACGGACAGGUUGGCGGUCUCCGACGGUAAGGUUACACAGCCUGUGUACGGAGAGGUUGGCGGUCUCCGACGGUAAGGUUACACAGCCUGUGUACGGAGAGGUUGGCGGUCUCCGACGGUAAGGUUACACAGCCUGUGUACGGACAGGUUGCCGGUCUCCGACGGUAAGGUUACACAGCCUGUGUACGGACAGGUUGCCGGUCUCCGACGGUAAGGUUACACAGCCUGUGUACGGACAGGUUGCCGGUCUCCGACGGUAAGGUUACACAGCCUGUGUACGGACAGGUUGCCGGUCUCCGACGGUAAGGUUACACAGCCUGUGUACGGAGAGGUUGGCGGUCUCCGACGGUAAGGUUACACAGCCUGUGUACGGAGAGGUUGGCGGUCUCCGACGGUAAGGUUACACAGCCUGUGUACGGACAGGUUGGCGGUCUCCGACGGUAAGGUUACACAGCCUGUGCACGCACAGGUUGACGGUCUCUGCCGGUAAGGAUACACUGUUGCAUGUUGUCAAAGAAUCAUCUAGACUACAAUAAUAAUAACAGCAUUAUUUGGUACUUAUGGUAUAGUGGAAGGUUCAGUCGACCAAGUCCACUCUAAGAAUGCUGAGAGCAGAUGCAAAUGUUUAUCAAUCAGUUACCUAAAAUGUAAGGAAUUACUUCUCUUCCUACACCAUCUAAGCAGAAAGUUAUGUUUUCUGUACCAUUUGUAGAAAUAACCCAUGGCUCUUAAUAUUAACCGUAAUUACUGGGGUACAUAUUAAAAUCAGCUGAAUACAGAGCAGAGUUGCUCUGUGCACUGACAGUAGCUGAAAAACAUGAAAACAAAUCUUAUCUCAAAAGCUAAGGAUAGUUUGCCAAAGGAUUUAACUGCUAACUAGAAUGUAUUGAAGACGACCAAAAAAAAAAACUUUUGAAUUAACCUAAAAUUCUUAUUCUUGCUUUUUCUUUCCCCUCUUUUGCUCAGAUUGUUGUUGAAAGAUUCCUGACAUUCAGGUUCUACUGAAAUAAUAUGCUGGAUUGUAGGAGCUGUUGUACACAUUGACUGGCAAGUUUAUCCACACAUUUGUGUACAACUGAAGUUUGCAUUCAGCUGCAAGAUUACUAUUCUGCCAGUAUUCUGUCAGAAUGACUACAAUGACGUGGUAUAAUGAUUUUCUUAGUUAGAAACAAUUGUAUCUUAAGCGUUUUGUUGCUUUGAGCACUUAAAAUUGGGUGACCUUACUGAUAAAGUGUAAAAUGUUAGUUAUAAGAAUGGAUC